rnacentral:rRNA from 1 species
UUGAACGCUGGCGGCAGGCCUAACACAUGCAAGUCGAACGGUAACAGGAAGCAGCUUGCUGCUUCGCUGACGAGUGGCGGCCGGGUGAGUAAUGUCUGGGAAACUGCCUGAUGGAGGGGGAUAACUACUGGAAACGGUAGCUAAUACCGCAUAACGUCGCAAGACCAAAGAGGGGGACCUUAGGGCCUCUUGCCAUCGGAUGUGCCCAGAUGGGAUUAGCUAGUAGGUGGGGUAACGGCUCACCUAGGCGACGAUCCCUAGCUGGUCUGAGAGGAUGACCAGCCACACUGGAACUGAGACACGGUCCAGACUCCUACGGGAGGCAGCAGUGGGGAAUAUUGCACAAUGGGCGCAAGCCUGAUGCAGCCAUGCCGCGUGUAUGAAGAAGGCCUUCGGGUUGUAAAGUACUUUCAGCGGGGAGGAAGGGAGUAAAGUUAAUACCUUUGCUCAUUGACGUUACCCGCAGAAGAAGCACCGGCUAACUCCGUG